AUUGAACGCUGGCGGAAUGCUUUACACAUGCAAGUCGAACGGCAGCACGGGGGCAACCCUGGUGGCGAGUGGCGAACGGGUGAGUAAUACAUCGGAACGUGCCCGGUCGUGGGGGAUAACGUAGCGAAAGUUACGCUAAUACCGCAUACGAUCUGAGGAUGAAAGCGGGGGACCUUCGGGCCUCGCGCGAUCGGAGCGGCCGAUGUCAGAUUAGGUAGUUGGUGGGGUAAAGGCCUACCAAGCCGACGAUCUGUAGCUGGUCUGAGAGGACGACCAGCCACACUGGGACUGAGACACGGCCCAGACUCCUACGGGAGGCAGCAGUGGGGAAUUUUGGACAAAGGGCGCAAGCCUGAUCCAGCCAUGCCGCGUGCAGGACGAAGGCCUUCGGGUUGUAAACUGCUUUUGUAUGGAACGAAAAGGCUCUGGCUAAUACCUGGGGCUCAUGACGGUAUCGUAAGAAUAAGCACCGGCUAACUACGUG
rnacentral:rRNA from 1 species